rnacentral:rRNA from 1 species
UACGUAGGGGGCAAGCGUUGUCCGGAAUCAUUGGGCGUAAAGAGCGUGUAGGCGGCUCGAUAAGUCUGCUGUGAAAGUCCAGGGCUCAACCCGUGGAAGGCCGGUGGAAACUGUCGGGCUAGAGUCCGGAAGAGGCGAGUGGAAUUCCCGGUGUAGCGGUGAAAUGCGCAGAUAUCGGGAGGAACACCAAUGGCGAAGGCAGCUCGCUGGGACGGUACUGACGCUGAGACGCGAAAGCGUGGGGAGCAAACAGG